rnacentral:rRNA from 1 species
GGAUUAGAUACCCUGGUAGUCCACGCCCUAAACGAUGUCAACUAGCCGUUGGGGGAAUUAAAUCCUUUAGUGGCGCAGCUAACGCGAUAAGUUGACCGCCUGGGGAGUACGGUCGCAAGAUUAAAACUCAAAGGAAUUGACGGGGGCCCGCACAAGCGGUGGAGCAUGUGGUUUAAUUCGAUGCAACGCGAAGAACCUUACCUGGUCUUGACAUCCUCGGAACUUUCCAGAGAUGGAUUGGUGCCUUCGGGAACCGAGUGACAGGUGCUGCAUGGCUGUCGUCAGCUCGUGCCG